GGUCACAAAGAGUUGGACACAACUGAAGGGACUGAGCAUGCAUGCAUGCACCAAAAAAGGGAACUGCUAUCUAAUGCAAAGGUACCUUUUAACUCUGUGAUUAUUAUUUCUCAUCUAAGUGUAUAAAGGGUCACAUUAAGAAAAUGUCUUGGACCCAGCCUGCCGCCCAGUGCCAGCCGCACAGCUCCCCACUCGCAUCCGCACACCUCGCUCCUCUCUGACAUGGCAAAAGUAUCCAGCCCUACGAAGACUGAACGAUGCAUCGAGUCUCUGAUUGCUGUUUUCCAAAAGCAUGCUGGAAGGGAUGGCAACAACAGCAAACUCUCCAAGGCUGAGUUCCUAAUCUUCAUGAAUACAGAGCUGGGUGCCUUCACAAAGAACCAUAUGGACCCUGGUGUCCUUGACCGCAUGAUGAAGAGAUUGGACCUCAACUCUGAUGGGCAGCUAGAAUUUCAAGAAUUUCUUAAUCUUAUUGGUGGCCUGGCCAUUGCUUGCCAUGAAUCCUUUAUUAAGUCUGCCUCUUGCCAGAAAUGAAUUGGAGGAACCUUUGAGCCUAGCCUCCAGACCCACUCACUUUCUUUCCAGCCUCUCAGUUAUCUGCUCUUCACAGCCCCCACAUACCCUGAGCCCAGCACACCCACCUACCCAGGCAGGCCACUCCUGUUAGUAAAAAAACAAUAUUUUUUUUAAAACAAA